GUCGAGAAACUUUCACAAUGGGGGCAACCCUGAUGGAGCGACGCCGCGUGGAGGAUAAGGUCUUCGGAUUGUAAACUCCUGUCAUGCGUGAACAAGGUUGCUUGGAUAAUACCUGAGCAAAUUGAUGGUAGCGCAAGAGGAAGAGACGGCUAACUCUGUGCAAGCAGCCGCGGUAAUACAGAGGUCUCAAGCGUUGUUCGGAAUCACUGGGCGUAAAGGGUGCGUAGGUGGCGUGGCAAGUCAGAUGUGAAAGCCCGGGGCUCAACCUCGGAACUGCAUCCGAUACUGGCAUGCUGGAGUACUGGAGGGGUGACUAGAAUUCUCGGUGUAGCAGUGAAAUGCGUAGAUAUCGAGAGGAAUACCAAAGGCGUAGGCAGGUCACUGGACAGUUACUGACACUGAGGCACGAAGGCCAGGGGAGCGAACGGGAUUAGAAACCCCAGUAGUCC
rnacentral:rRNA from 1 species